GGGAGGAGCUGGUCACAAUAGGCUCAAGUUUUGGUUACUCUGAACCCAAGCAAGGGAAUAUCCUGAUUCCAUUUUUGCUAGAGGACUGAAGAUACCUCUUUAAUUUCUCUCAUAUGAUUUCUUCCUUAUAGUCAUCCUAAAUAAGUCCCUAUUAUCUGAAGAUUACUGCUUUUAUAAUCUAUGAAUUUUCAUCUUAAUGCAUCCUGAAGAAGUUGUGAAUCUGCAGGCAAGAGGAUGAAUCAGGAAGCAGAAGCAAGAAAAGCCAUUUGAAAAGGAGCAAGAAAUGAAAACCACAGUGAUCCAUGUUCUAGGGUUAUGAAAGAUGUGCUUAGCAAAAAAUGACCUGACUUCUAAACAUGAAGGAUAUUUUCUCUUCAGCAAUCAAUAGUAGCUCUUGGUACUUUGCCAAAUAUGGUUAGAAAAACAUUUUGCCUUUGUUAAGCAUUAACUUUGUGGGUUUUUUCCCCUUUUCUGAGAUAUCUGUAAAAUUUUUCUUUCUUUUUUUCAAAAUUAAUUUUAGGGAUGGGGUUACAGUGAUUGAAUGCUUGCUGGCCUUGCAUGUGUGAGACCCUGGGUUUGAUCCUCAGCACCACAAAAAAAAAGAAAAAAAAUAUUAAAUUUUACUAUUGUUACAGGAAUCCAUUCUUCUUAUUGCAGAUUAGAUCAUCACAAUAUAUGUUAUUCAGCAUUUCCAAAUUCCUCCCUCCAACAUCCCCCAUUAUUACCAUUACUAUGUAUCUUGAAUGUUUUUACCCACCUUACAAUACUUUUAUAACCACAUGGACAUACAUAUAGAAAAUACUUUGCAUUAUUCCAUGUUUCAUCACACAGAGCAAUAAUAAUUCAUACUACUUGCUUCAUUCUGCACCUUGUUUUUCUGAAGAAGGAUUUUUGAGAUAGAUUCAUUUUGUAAAGCAGAUAGAAAGGAGAUGAAAAGAUAGACUUUAUUCAAUCUUUUUGAAGCUGGUAAGUUCCCCUCCUAAGCAACUGCUACUUGUUGUCCCAUCAUUCUUCCCCUGAUGGGCCCUUGGACUUAGGGCUCCUUGCUGUUGUAAUAUAGAGCAUUCUUACUUGUCAUAUGUAUGUGAGUCCCACAUGCAUUCCUCUAGGACAGACAUUUAUAAUUUGCACUGCUCGGGCCUGGGGAAGUAAGGUCAUGGUGGGUUUGGCUUUAUGAACUGCCCUGUCCUGGAGCCCAGUCCCUCAUCACAUCAGCAGUGUGCACGAGUGCUGACCCUUGGUGGCACCUUGGAUUCUUCAAUAGCACCUGCCUUGACAGCAUGAGGCCUGUGCAAUCCUACCUCACUGGGGCUGGGGUAGGGGGGCACCCAAGGCCUUGUGAGGUGGAUUUCACUCAGCUGAAUGGCUGUUCUGAUUUUCCUUUUUACCUACUGAAGGCUCACCAUUCUAAUUUUCCAUUUCUUGGUCUUUUUACUGUUGUUGUAGGAAUUCUUUGUGUACAAUCCUCCCAGUUAGGGCUGGAUUCCUGCAAAUCCAAACUAGCUGGUAUGGUUAUAUUUAACUAUAUAUUCUCUUUUGUGCAUUUUGCUUUUGUAUGAGUCUGUUUAAAAAGGUGGCCCUCCUCCAUGCUUAGCAGAUACACAUCACAUGCUUUUCCAAUAAACAUACCAUUUCUUCUUUUUUUGGGGGCCACUAGUUCACUGGACUGUGGGUUUUGGAACAAGCAAAGGCUCACCCCUCAGGCAAGCCUAUCUAUGGAAGCAUUUAAUCUUUCUCAACGAUGUGAAAGGCUGGCAAUCACAUUUUGUACUAUUGUAUCUGAUGGCAUAAAAUCAUAAGAUCUGCUCUUCAGUGACUUUGUAAAAGUAGCACAAACCCCCAGCCUGCCUGUGGACUUGAUGCUACUCUCCAUGACCCUUGGAAGCCCAAGUAGAUUAAAUGGCACACAUUACCAUAUGUCACCUGUCUCUUUUCCAUUUCCUACAAAUAUCUCCUUGGUAAAAAUGGAGAUUCACCAUAUCUCAUUUUCCAAUCUCACUCUUACAAUAAGAGGAAUCAUGACUCCCUGGUGUGACAGCUGACUGUGUGGAGGGGGCAGAAAACAAACAAGGUGU
rnacentral:lncRNA from 1 species